AACGAACGCUGGCGGCAGGCCUAACACAUGCAAGUCGAGCGGACCCUUCGGGGUUAGCGGCGGACGGGUGAGUAACGCGUGGUAAUAUGCCCUUCUCUACGGAAUAGUUCUGGGAAACUGGGGGUAAUACCGUAUACGCCCUUUGGGGGUAAGAUUUCUCGGGGAAGGAUUAGCCCGCGUUGGAUUAGGUAGUUGGUGGGGUAAUGGCCUACCAAGCCGGCGAUCCAUAGCUGGUUUGAGAGGAUGAUCAGCCACACUGGGACUGGGACACGGCCCAGACUCCUGCGGGAGGCAGCAGUGGGGAAUCAUAGACACUGGGGGCAAGCCUGAUCUAGCCAUGCCGGGUGAGUGAUGAAGGCCUUAGGGUUGUAAAGCUCUUUCAGCUGGGAAGAUAUGGACGGUACCGGCAGAAGAAGCCCCGGCUAACUCCGU
rnacentral:rRNA from 1 species